GGGGGUGCAUUGGUUUCGACUUGGAAACAAAGUACCAGUGGCAUGCAGAGGGUUCGGUUGGCCUCUUAAAAAAGCCGAGACGACAUAAUUGUCAAAAAAUCAAAAGUUGUAAGCAUCGCUUCUCACGCUGGUUUUACUAGCAAAGUUGCGUAUGCUGCAGCCGCUGCUUAAGACCUAACCCGUCAUUUAGUAGCCGAUCCUCUAAGAUUGGACCAGGGAUCUUAGAAAGGUCGUCAGAGAUCUUGGUAUGAACGCCUUUUCUUGACUUCCAGAGAGGGCGCUUCGAGAUUAAAAGAGGUGUGCGCAUCCCAAGUGGGGUUCCUUACAGCAAGAGGCGCACUAAAACUAAGGGACUAAGCAUGUAGGCAUUGUUAUGGCGUUGGCUAAGGACGAGAGUUCGAUUCUCUCCACCUCCAA
rnacentral:tmRNA from 1 species